UACAGAGGUCUCAAGCGUUGUUCGGAUUCAUUGGGCGUAAAGGGUGUGUAGGUGGCGCCGUAAGUCGGGUGUGAAAUUUCGGAGCUUAACUCCGAAACUGCAUUCGAUACUGCGGUGCUUGAGGACUGGAGAGGAGACUGGAAUUUACGGUGUAGCGGUGAAAUGCGUAGAUAUCGUAAGGAAGACCAGUGGCGAAGGCGGGUCUCUGGACAGUUCCUGACGCUGGAGGUGCGAAAGCGUGGGGAGCAAACAGG
rnacentral:rRNA from 1 species